rnacentral:rRNA from 1 species
AGUAGGGGAGCCGUAGAGAAAUCGAGUCUUAAUAGGGCGUUUAGUUGCUGGGUAUAGACCCGAAACCAGGCGAUCUAUCCAUGAGCAGGUUGAAGGUUGGGUAACACUAACUGGAGGACCGAACCCACUGUCGUUGAAAAGCCAGGGGAUGACUUGUGGAUAGGGGUGAAAGGCUAAUCAAGCCUGGUGAUAGCUGGUUCUCCCCGAAAGCUAUUUAGGUAGCGCCUCGGACGAAUACCAUAGGGGGUAGAGCACUGUUUCGGCUAGGGGGUCAUCCCGACUUACCAAACCGAUGCAAACUCCGAAUACCUAUGAGUACUAUCCAGGAGACAGACUGCGGGUGCUAACGUCCGUAGUCAAGAGGAAAACAAUCCAGACCGCCAGCUAAGGCCCCAAAAUCAUAGUUAAGUGGGAAACGAUGUGGGAAGGCAUAGAC